GCUCCGGUGGCCUAGUGGUUACAGCGUCCUCUUCGAAUGCGUGUGGUCGCGGGUUCGAACCCUGGCCGAGUCA